rnacentral:lncRNA from 1 species
GCUGUUUCCAGGCUUCUUGAACCACCAAGCACUGGGAGGGAGAAUGAAUAUUUUAUAAAAGGUCAUAAAACAUAAUCUGUUACUUUGAGUGAAUUAGAGUCUGUAGUUAAAAAAAGAGAGAAGUUGCCAUCAGUAGACCAGGAGUUCUGCAUUAUUUAGCCCCAGCUAUUCCAUCACAUCAGUAAAGCAGGAGAACCAGAACAUUAAAAUCACACCCUUUGCUCCUGAGGAAGGGAAGUAACAUCCUGGAGGUCCACUUCAUACCACUUGGACUUACUUGGCAGGGGACGGUGGCUCUCUGUCUGGAGUGUGCUUGGGAGGAGGGGGCAUAGAUUUCUGCACCCCUACUAACACAGUACCUUACAGAGAACUUUUCUGAGAUCUUGGCUUCCCACCCUAUUUUAGGAUCUGUCUUAUUCAACAGUGUUCUCUAAUUGCUUCUCUUUUACAGCACUAGGCUCUGCCAAAUUUCUGAUCCUAGGGGAAAACCAAAAGUCAUUUUACUUUUGUUUGGAUGCAAAAUGAUUUAACUUCCUUUGCCUUAAGCACUCCAUCACAAACUACAGCCUGGACCUCACCAUUCCUAAUCAUAAAAUCCUCUAGCUUGUUUUCAGAACUGAUGGAGCAUGCUACCCCAUGGACUCCACAGAUAGCAAAAUAAUCCAUAGACAUAAACUUUGAAACUACAAUUCCUUUAACUGUGUCAAGGAUUUCAGAUCAACCUCUUCACAGAUCAAAGAAUAUACACUUCACUCCAGUGGUAGAAGAGGCAGAAAAAUAUCUUCUCCAUCUUUCCAGAACAUACCCUGAGAGUCAUUUUUGUUGUUGUUGUUGUUGUUGUUGUUCUUCUUCUUCUUCUUCUUUCUCCUUCUCCUUCUCCUUCUCCUUCUCCUUCUCCUUCUUAUUCUUUCAUUACCAGACUGGCUUUUGGUAACUCUUUCCCUCAUGCUUACUAUUUGGGGGCCAUAUCUACAAUGACAUGUGGCUUUCUGUGUCUUGCCUGGCUUACCUUCCCUCUGCCAUCCAACCCCUUCCCUCCCACAUACAUAUACACACACUCAUGUUCACAUUUGCAGUUAUAUAGGAUCUGGUUUUAUUCCAUCAGUGCCUUGAGAAGAAUGGUGUUAUCAAAGAUGAAGGAAGAUGCUCUGGACCUUGUGGGAUUCUUUAUAUUACCUGCUUAGCAACCAACCCUAUCUCUGCAUAGGCUGCACACUCUCCUCAUCUCUUCUUUCUGAUUGCUUUCUCCUCCUCCUGUUCCUUAUUGUUCCUCACCAACUAACAUGACGAGCACCUGUUAUAUAUAUAUAUAUGAAGGCUAUUGUUCUAGACCAGGGGAAAAAAAUGACAGGACGCUUGUCCUCACAAGGAUUGGAGUCUAUGGGAACAUAUGCUUCUCCUGAUCUGCCACUUCACCCUAAAAGAGUUUGCUAUUUAUAACCCAUAGAGUAGGUAAAUCCUAAUGAGCAGGGAAUUCAGAGAUCCUGGAUUCCGAUCACCAUUGCUGUAAGACCACGGAAAAGUCAUUUACUCCUUCUAAGGUCCAAUUCUGUCAGCAAAUUAAGGCAGUUGAGUGAGGUAAUACUGUCACUCUUAAGGAUUGGUUCCUAUGAUUUAAUUUUCUCAAAUUAUGCCCUACAGUACAUGAAGAUCUCAAACGUAAGGUUUGGUGAAAAGUGAGGUUCUAUGUUUGAAUCUACUUGGAAAAUAUUAGGUUAAAUAAUGUUAAGGAACAUAUCAGAGGCUUUAAUAUUCUAAUGUCUAUUGUGAACCUCUCUGAAUUAAAGUAGCAGAUUCCCAAAUGCAUUUAAUUGAAGAGUGUCCAUGUGUGUAAAUAUCUAUUAACAUGAUGCAGAACUAGAAUUGUAUAGAACACAGUUUGCUAAUGAAAAAAGCAGAAUGCCUGCAACAUCAGGCUGCUUACAUUUGCAGACUUCUCGGUACCCACUUGCUCUGCCACCUGGGGGAUUAUUUAACUUUUCUGUACUUCAGUUUUCUUGUGUGCCUAAGAAAAUUAGGGAAAGUUCCUAUCUCACGGCUCUUAGAAAAGUGGUUGGAAUACAGUAAGCAUUCAGUAAAUGCUUAUACUCAGCUAUUGUUAUCUUUGGUGAGUAUUAAAAUAUUAACAAAAAGCAUUUACUUUUUAAAAAAGAUUUUGUUUAUUUAUUGGAGAGAGAGAGUGAGUGAGUGAGUGAAAGAGAGCACAAGCAGGAGGAGGAGCAGAAGGAGAAGGAGAGGC